rnacentral:misc_RNA from 1 species
AACAAGGCGUACCUGCGGACCUGCGGAGGGAUCAUUAAUGAAUAAACUUGGUCGAGCUGUUGCUGAUCCCUCGGGAUAUGUGCACGCUUGCCACCAAUUUUAACCACCUGUGCACUUUCUGUAGACUGGAAAACGAUGCUCGAGGCAACUCGGAUUGGGAACUGCUGCGCGAAAGCCGGCUGCUCCUGUGUUUUCUCAGUCUAUGUUUUUAUAUACUCCGAAUGUAUGUAUAAGAAUGUA